UACGUAGGUGACCAGCGUUGUCCGGAUUUACUGGGCGUAAAGAGCGCGCAGGCGGUCGUUCAAGUCGAGUGUGAAAGCCCCCGGCUCAACUGGGGAGGGUCAUUCGAUACUGAUCGACUCGAAGGCAGGAGAGGGAAGUGGAAUUCCCGGUGUAGCGGUGAAAUGCGUAGAUAUCAAGAGGAACACCUGAGGUGAAGACGGGUUGCUGGGCCGACACUGACGCUGAUGCGCGAAAGCCAGGGGAGCAAACGGG
rnacentral:rRNA from 1 species